UCCGCUGCUCUACUGUAGGCACGUUGACUUCAUGGUUGUAAAUUAGUGGUUAAGGUUCGAUAUUAUUGCUACUUUUCCAGCGCUGAAAACUGUUUUGGAACCAAGUGUCGCUGAUUCAGCGGGUGACUGGCUUUUUUUUUUUUUUUUUUUUUUUUUGGCAAGCCAGUUAUUCGAGUUUCUGUUUUUUAAAAAAAAACUCUGGCGGUACGGUAGCCGAGGAGGUUCUAGUGCGGCGGAAGUACCCAGCGGGUGGGUGUGUGCGCGCGCAAGAUCAGGGCCAGAGGUGCACGUGGCGCCGGGAGUAGAGAGAAUGUCUUUUCGAGGCGGAGGUCGUGGAGGCUUUAAUCGGGGUGGUGGAGGUGGCGGCUUCAACCAUGGCAGCAGCAGCAACCACUUCCGAGGUGGAGGCGGUGGUGGAGGCGGCGGCAAUUUCAGAGGCGGCGGCAGGGGAGGAUUUGGACGAGGGGGUGGCCGCGGAGGCUUUAACAAAGGCCAAGACCAAGGACCUCCAGAACGUGUAGUCUUAUUAGGAGAGUUCCUGCAUCCCUGUGAAGAUGACAUAGUUUGUAAAUGUACCACAGAUGAAAAUAAAGUGCCUUAUUUCAAUGCUCCUGUUUACUUAGAAAACAAAGAACAAAUUGGAAAAGUGGAUGAAAUAUUUGGACAACUUAGAGAUUUUUAUUUUUCAGUUAAAUUGUCAGAAAAUAUAAAGGCUUCAUCCUUUAAAAAACUACAGAAGUUUUAUAUAGACCCACAUAAGCUGCUGCCACUGCAGAGGUUUUUACCUCGACCUCCUGAUGAGAAAGGACCUCCAAGAGGUGGUGGCAGGGGAGGCCGAGGAGGAGGACGAGGAGGAGGUGGCAGAGGUGGUGGUUUUAGAGGUGGAAGAGGAGGUGGAGGUGGGGGCUUCCGAGGAGGAAGAGGGGGUGGUGGUUUCAGAGGGAGAGGACAUUAAGUGAAAUAGUUGACAGACAUCACCAGUUGACUUCUGCGUAAACCUGCGUGAUCUGUUUCUACUGUGGAUUGGAAACUUGUUUCUUGAGCAAGUCUUGAAGACCUUGGUUGUUUUAUGACAAUGGAUCUAAAAUGUCAGCAUUAUGCCAAGUGCAACAGAAUAGUGAAUUUUGCUCUAAAAGAGCAUGAAUAAAUCUUUUUAAUGUUUUGUAUAGUGCCUGGCACUCUGUGGGUGCUUAAUAAAUGGACAGGAGUUUUCAUUUGAAGCAUAUUUGAAUUUUUAAAAUAAAGUGUUUAUUCCCUUAAAAAAAAAAA